GUGAAAAAAUAAAUCCUUGUGCAGGCACCAGAGAUGGGAUUACUGGUAGCAGAUUUGGUAUUAUACCUUGAAAUACCACCAGAGAAAGUUGCUGAAAGAGGAGACUAUGGCGGCGAGAGAUAUGAGCAGCUUGAUGUUUCAACAAAAAGUUGCCCGUUCCUAUCAGAUGCUCCAUGACACCUCAUGGAAGUGUCAAAAGAAAAAGUAUGAGAAGCACCAUAAUACAGCAGAUGGCCGCAUUAGAAUAUGGCUUGGAAUAAGGCAAAUUAUGAAUUCUACUGAUCAUUUACUAACUGACAGGAGGGACACUGUAAAAGAACUAAAAACUAGAAUCCACAUGGCAUAUGAUAUGUGGUGUUCUCUGCAAUUAUGAUGGACCUAGACUAGAUUGCUACAAAUUAGCAAGGUGGCAGUAGAGAGGUCAUCAGGAUUGCAGGGGAAGGAUAAAAUAGUUGAGGAGAGAAGGAUAGCAAUUUGCAUCUUUGAUGAUGUUGCAGAGCAGUGUCACAAAGCAGCUCUGAAGUAAAUAUUCCUUUCAAAACAUUUAUGUAGAUGUACUGAUUGCUAUUGUGGCCAUUUAUCCAAUAUAAUUUUUCUACAUGUGUUGAACAAAUAUUAUGAUACAUAUCUUCCUUUCCUUUUGGAAGCUUGCAAUGACAUGAACCCAGAUGUCCGGUAGGUCUGCACAAACUACUCAAUAUUUGGUUUAAUCCCUAAGUUUCUUUGCUGUUGAUCACUUUUGAAACAUGUUUAUUUUCAGGCUGCUGUAUAUGGACUUGGCGUUUGUGUAGAACUUGGUGGUUCUGUUUUUGAACCUCUUGUUUUAGGUAUAAUCUGCUUCGACAUUUUGGGAGUUGAUUUCCUUCAUAUUUCCUUUGAAUUGAUAGUGUCUCUUUAUACCUUGUUCAGAGGCUCUUUCAAUGUUAAAUGUUGUGAUAAGGGACCCUAAUGCCUUGCAACCUAAAAACAUAAUGGCAUAUGAUAAUCCUGUUUCUGCUAUGGGAAAAAUAUGUCAGUUCCAUCGUGAGAGUAUAGAUUCUGCUUAGGUAAUACCUCUUUGUUUAUUGUUCACAAGCCUAUUCAAGCAUAAAUAAUUCUGCAAAAUGUGGAUUCUUUGAUUCUUUUGGUUCACCUUGAAACUUGAAUAUAUUGCACAGAAUGACUUUUAGUUAUCUUAGGGUGUGUUGUGGGCUACCUUGCACCUUUUAAACGAACAAGGUCUUGACUCUUGAUAUGUGAUUUGUUUGGCAUUCAUUAAUCAGUAUGUGUAUCCUAAAUAUUUAAUGAAAUACUAGAGCUCUAAAAUGGAUUAUUUAUUUACUUGUGUUCCGAUAUACUUUGUGCAAGAAAACAAGAUGAUAAGUGAUAAUCAAUUGGUAACUCGUGUACAAUUUGCUUAUGCUUUUUCUUUAGUGGAUGCUUCUUUAAUAGGGGGGAUUUUUUUGUUUGUAGUGGCAGUUUCAUUAAUUGGUUCAGUUUCUUUUCCUUAUUUGAUGAAAACCAACAUACUCAUAGAUGGACAUUUCUCAUAGUUCACAUAGUUUUGUUUUUUUUUUGUUUAAUUAAUGACUUAUGUGUGUCUGUAUCUAUAUGGCCUAGAUUUAGUAGCAAAUUAUAUUUUUCUGUACAAACUUAAUUGUUUGUUUGAAGAUUCCUACUCAUUUCCCUCUAGAAACAUUGCAACAAAAGAGGUAACUUCAUUUGAGGUAUGAAAAAAAAGGUUUUGUUUUAUAUGGAUUUUAUUUGCAUAUACAUUGAGACUAUUGAGAUUUUGAAUUUUUGCUAAUUUUUCAUUAUGAUAUGGGGCCAUUAAAUUAUCUUAUUAAUUUUGAAAAUGUUUUGUUUAUGUUUUAAAAUUUCUUGAUCAUUUCUUAAUACUCAAGAAAUAUUUUUGACCCUGAGUCGUUGGUUUUUGUACUUAUGUGAAGUUUCUUCUGUCAUGCAGACAAGAAAUGCAACAGGGUUAGUUGCUUCAGCUAUUGCCACGGGUUUAGAUACCUUAACAUAUACAUUGGGCACCCUCGUCCCUGUGAUAGGAGCAAGUGGAUUUGCUACUGUUACAGCUACAACUGCAAUAGGAACUAUUGUCGGUAGUUUUAGAUAAUUUCUUAAUAGUUGUCGAUAUGUUUAAAAAGUUAGAUAUGCAUAGUUUUGGGUGGUUUAAACUUUUUGUACAGUUUAGAGCUUAAGGAUAUAGUUUUUGAA